rnacentral:rRNA from 1 species
UACAGAGGGGGCGAGCGUUAUUCGGAAUCAUUGGGCGUAAAGGGCGCGUAGGCGGCCGCGUAAGUCUCGGGUGAAAUCCCUCGGCUCAACCGAGGAACUGCCCUGGAAACUGCGCGGCUCGAGGCCGGGAGAGGAUGGUGGAAUUCCCAGUGUAGCGGUGAAAUGCGUAGAUAUUGGGAGGAACACCGGUGGCGAAGGCGGCCAUCUGGACCGGUCCUGACGCUGAGGCGCGAAAGCGUGGGGAGCAAACAGG